rnacentral:rRNA from 1 species
GACGAACGCUGGCGGCGUGCUUAACACAUGCAAGUCGAACGGAAAGGCCCCUUUGGGGGUACUCGAGUGGCGAACGGGUGAGUAACACGUGAGUAACCUGCCCUUGACUUCGGGAUAACUUCAGGAAACUGGGGCUAAUACCGGAUAGGAAUCCUUGCUGCAUGGUGGGGGUUGGAAAGCUUCGGCGGCUUUGGAUGGACUCGCGGCCUAUCAGCUUGUUGGUGGGGUAGUGGCUUACCAAGGCUUUGACGGGUAGCCGGCCUGUGAGGGUGACCGGCCACAUUGGGACUGAGGGGCGGCCCAGACUCCGACGGGAGGAAGCAGUGGGGAAGAUUGAACAAGGGGCGGAAGCCUGAUGCAGCAGGGCCGCGGGCGGGAUGACGGCCUUCGGGUUGAAGACCGCUUUCAGCAGGGGCGAAGCUUGUGGUGACGGUACCUGCAGAAGAAGCACCGGCUAACUACGUG